rnacentral:lncRNA from 1 species
UUUUUUUUUUUUUUUGACAUUAAAUGAAGUUGCUCAUUCAGAAAGAUGGCACUAUUUACACUCUUUGUAAUUCCACUCUUUAGGAUGAUUUCUUAGGCCAAAACUAUUAUACAUAAUUUUUAAUGUUUUUUUUUUUUUUAUAUUCAGUGUAUUGGAGACAGAAUCUAAAAGAGAAGACAAUAAAUGGUCACUGCUUCUUCCUUGAUACUACUCCAUGCCUUUAUUUUAAACUGGUUUUAAUAGUAACUUUUUUUGGAGCCAUAUUUGAUGCCAAUCUAAUCCUUAAAUGUUGGCCUUCCUGAGUGUUAACUGUAUGAUCAUCUAUUAAUUAUUUCCCUCACCCAUAAAACGGGAACAGUAAUCAUUACACCACAGGGUGAUAGAAAGUAGUAAGGAGAUAAUGUGUGUAAAGUGAUUAGAAUAGUGUGAUUUGCCUCCUAUUUAGUAACGUAUUAUUAAAACUUAGGAAAUAAUCUUAUGCACCCCUCCAUCACCUAUUAAUUCUUUGUUGAGAUUGGAAAUAGAAAUAGUAAGAUUUCAAACCACAUUUAUAUCUCUGGCUAAUUUUCACCUCAAGCUAGGCUGUGUGUAUGAUUGACUUCUAUUGCCAACCAUUUCAAGAAAAGAAUAUGUAGCAAAAUCUUAUUUAUAAAACCAUAAAUGAGAUUUCUGGUUACAAAUGAGGUUUUAUUUGCAACUUGGGGAUAUCUUUCAACUUAUUUAUCAAGGAAUUCUUUCCAAAAUUUCUUUGAGGUAAGCAGUGUAUUUCUCUUGUGUUCUAUUUCAGAUCUCUGUUAUUGAUGGUAGCGAAGGAAAUCAUAAAAUAUAGGAUAAGCGUAUUAGGAACUUCAUGAGUAUGAAUGGCCAGAAGCCACUUGUCCAUGUGUGUGACUCUGCUGUGAGUGAAAUGAAGAGCUAUAACCAGCAAACACCAGUAGUUCUGGAACACUUUCAUUUGUUAUUUACAAUCUAUGCUCAAUGUAGUGGUACCAACACAUACCUCAUAAAGACAAGCUCAACAACAUUUUGAUGCAGCUUGGGUUGAGGAAAGCAAGAGAUGUAUGGUCUUGUAUGAGUGAAUCAGAUUUGAUAAAGGCCAAAAAGUAUGAUGAUGUGGAGCUGAGCUCCAUUCAUUACUGCACAUGUGUGAUUCGAUCACAAAAACAUGCAGGCAAAGAGUGCCAAGUGUUAAUUAAUUAAUUAGGUCCACAAAUGAUAGAAGACCUAGUCAAGCCAAGCCAGUGCCAGAUUUCAGAGGAAGUAGAGGAGAGUGAGGGAGAGAGAAAGACAUACCUUAAGACUAAGCCAAAAGCCACCAUAGGGUUUGCUAAGGGUAACACGGGGCAGCACUGAAUGAGGAAUUAACUGGAGACAGUGAAUAUUUACAUCUGGCACCCAAUAUCAGACUUUGCUUCUAUCGUCACUUUUUUUCCCUCCCAAAUCUAGGGGUAAUUUUUUUCAAUAUAAGAAUGACAUCUGCAUCUAGUUGUUGUAGAGUUCUGUGUGCCUUCAAAAGUUCUGGAGAGUUAGAUGCUUCAGAGUCCUUGCUAAUACUGUCAGUGACUUUUAUUAUCCUAAGGUUUAUAUGGGGACCUUCUUGGAGCUCAAUCAAUGUUCUUAUAUUGGGGGAGGGGAGAGUCUAUUUCCUGGAAACCAUACUGAGGUAUGGUUCUCUCAUAGGUUACAAGUGCCCUAAUGCAGCCCGACUCAAGAGUACAUUUGGUCAGGUCCAUUUCGUCCCUCUUCUCUCCUAACUUAGCUUCCAUCAUCAUGAUGAUAGCUUUUAUCAUAGUGGCAAUGGUUUAAUCUGUUACCCUGUCAUCAUUCCCCACCCUAUAACCUAAUGCUGUAUCCCUUAGCCAGGGAUUUUGAAGAACUAUGUUUCUCCUGGUGGGUCUGCGUGGAAGUGGGGUAUUACCAAUGAAGACAAAGGUAAAGGUGUGUCUGUAGGGGAACUUUAUUUCAAGUUACUUCUCUCACCAUAUUGCUGUGCUCCCUCUGCCUUUUCAGGUUGCAAACUCCCCUUGUACAGUUUUCCUCAAUGGGUUUAAAAUUGUGUUUCUCUGACCCCAUCAGAGUAUUGACCAACAAAUGGUUUUAUUUUCUUUAUUGCUGAGCAACCCCUUGGCUAUGUUCAAUGUUUUCUUUUGGGGGGGGGCUGAACUGUUCAUUGUGGCAUUUUUUAAUAUUUGUAAUAUAUUUAAGUAACUCUGGAGUUUUGGCUUUUAACACUGCCAUCAAAUUAUGAAGUUGAUGUCUUGAGGUGAACUGUGUGUUUAUGGCUGUUUCUUAGCUCCUUGAGCAGAGAUUGAGUCUGCCAGGAGUAUUAAUGAUUGAUUGAAGGAGAUGAAAUGUUUCAUUUCUCAUUCCUUUGGAACUAAGUUUUUGGUGGAAAAUUUUGCAAUUCAUUGAAUUUACUGGUAUGGCUUGUCUUAUGCAUUCUUGACACUAUGAUUGGUUUUUGUAUUUGAGUUUCGGUAUCGAUUCACUUCAGUGAAUUGUGCAGUUUUAAAAAUUGGAACCUGAGAGUUGGUGAUCUCUGUUUGGGGAUGAAAAAGCCAAGCUUUCUUUAAUUCUAUAAUGCUAGAGCCAGAAAGGACAUGAACAAAUUUUUGUUUCUAACACAGUUCCCAGUGUUUGUAGAUCAUCUCUUGGCCAGAAUAAUUUUUUCAAAAAUACUAACAUCUGUUCAAUAUUGAGCAAAUUUCCCAAGGCCCAUUUUAGGCUACAUUUCCAGCUUUUAGACAAAUACCUACCUCUAGAUUUUUUUAAAGGAUGCCACUUCUAAGUUUUGCACAAUUUUCUUUUUUUUUUUUUCAGAUUUGUACACUUCUUGCCGCUGAGUAGUUAAUUUCUCUAACAUUGGUUUUUUGAGUUUUAACAUUGAAAUGCUAUAAUUAGUUGUUAAAUACUACACAAUAUUAUAAGGAGAUCUUUUAGUCCCAUAAACUUAAACAUAUCUUCAAAAGAUAAAAAAACAUGUGGUACGGAACCAUAUGGCACAUACUUAGCAAGAUUCCAGGAAGUUGGAGAGCUGAAGCAAUUCAGUGAUAAAGCUUUAGUGGGAAGAUUCCAGAAAAGUUUGGAGACCCAAAUCAUGACUAAUCAACACAUGAUUCCUGAUCUUAGUCUCCACUGAUGAAAGAAAGGUAAAAAAGCAAAAGCAAAAACAAAAACAAAAAAACAAGGAAGUAUUUGGCUUCCUUGGCAUAUAAAUUACUCCACAACAAAUAGAAACUGAAAUUCUGUAGGUUAUUUUCAUAACCUAUCAUUCCAGAGAAUUUGCUGAUGCUGAAAAAGAAGGGACAUGCAGAAGAAAUGUACAAAUUCCAACAGUUUCUAAAGUACCCCACAAAAGCAGGAAAAUGACUAACCUCAUUCUGUAAAAAGCAAAACUGAAUUUGUUCGGGAGAAGCAUUUAUACAAAAAUAAUAAUGUUUUCUCACGUAUGGACUGCUUAUUCAUCUCCAGUAUGGCCCUACUUGCUCACACCUAGCAUUUUCCUGCAGUGGAAGUAGACCUUAGACUUCGGCUAGGGCCUGACCCCUGCCCCUCACAUGUUUUGACCAGAGUAUUGGGGCCAAGCAGGGGAAAAGCAUUUCAUUCCAGGUCCCACAGUGAAUUAUGGCGCCCCCCCCCGCCCCCCGGCCCCACUCCAGAGCAAGAGUCUGAAUCAUCCAGUGUAGCCAUCUUUCACCCCAAAACCUCUGCCUCAGGAUUUUGGAUAAACCAGGAAGAUGCCUGCCUCAGCACCUCAAAUCCCAUCAGUAAAACUCAAUGAGGCAAUAGUUUUACAGAAGAAAAACAGAUGAUCCUAGUGAUAUUACGUGGAUAGAAUGGUAUAGCUGGUAGACAGGAAGCCUAGAUUAUGCCUUGAAAAUUUAAAGUCCCCAUACUGAAGGGGACCAGGGAAAGUAGAUGCUUGGCUACUGCUUUAUUUUUCUACAGUACCAUUUCUUUGGGGAUUCUGAUUCUGCAGAUAUGGCACAAUAAUUUAAAUUCAAUUGUCUGGCAUUCCUUUUCCCUUUCCUGGGUUCUAUCAAUGUUCCUGGAAGCUGCUGUUUGUCAGAGGUUGGGUAGAAGGAGGACUGGCCUGCUCCUUGGUCCUAAGUCUACCUUGAUGUGUUUCUCAUCCCAUUCUGCAAGGCCUUUCAGGUCUAAUAAAUGUCCCUGCUGCUUUGAUGCCUUGUUGAGGGCUCAGCAAGCCUCUAGGACUCCAUUCUGCACAUGACCAGGAUGUGGAUGGAGCUGGACAACAAAACAUAUUUUAUGUAGCCCACAAAGUUUCUGGAGGUUUUACUUGGAUAAUCUAGUUUUCUGGCAUCUGGCGAAAAAUUAGAAAGGUGUUAAUUCAGUGUCUGCAUUCUUGGAUGAGUCUUCCCAUGCAGCCUGCUGGUACUGUCACCCAUUAGAUAGGACAUGGGCUUCCAGCUCUGCACAGUUUCCACCAUUCCCUGGUGUACCAUACUCGGGCCCCUCUAGCCACUUGAGUUUCCUCACCAUGUCUCAACACUGCCCACUCACAUGUUCUUCCUGAGUUGUUCCUUUUGGAAAACUGUCUCAGUCCUCUCUACUGCUGGGUCUAUCAAUCUUCCUUCACCUGUCAUCUCUUCUCUCUCCUCUUUCCUCCAACCUAAAAGAAGCUUUGUUGUCUGGGGAUGGAGAGGGAGCUCUAUUUCCUCCACUCUGCUUCUCUCAAAUGCUUUGUCCUUCCUUAUGCCUGAUUCUGGCCAAGACAUUUUGACUAUACUCUAAGUCUUAGGGCCCCAGGAGUGUGUGGUUUUGAAAUUCACACGCCCAUAACCAAGAUCAUUCCUAUUGUCUCUACUAACAUGGCCUGGCCCUCCAUCACUGAGGACAUUUCUGCUGGACGUCUUCCCUCUGCCUCCAAAGCCACACUUCACUUCCCUCUUGUUCUCUCUACCCAUGGCAGUGACUUCUAUGGACCAUCUCAACAGGCUUCCCUUCCUAUUGGAUUUGGUUGUUGGGCAGCACCACCAGGAAGACUGAGGAAGGGAGGAGAGUAAAGGUGAGGUGUUUAUAUUUUUUUGUUUAUCCAUAGGUAUAUUCAAUAGUACUUAUGCAUAUUUUAAGUUUCAUUUAAAAAUAAGCCAGUGCACCACCUGAACCAUGAAGCAAUGUAAGAAAUUUCUACAAAAAAAAAGAGUCAUUUAUGGCUCAAAACAGUCAAGAGUAACUGGAUGGAAGUUAAUUUUUGGGGAGAGGGGGUUUCAAGCUUUUAAAAUCCUCCAUCACAACCUUUUAACACACAAGCAACCCCCAAUGCACUUGUUUCUAAGAGAACCUAAUAAUAUUUAAGCUGACAUAGAACAGGAAAAAAAAUAGAGGUUAUUUCAAGUCUCUAACCGCUGUGGAAGUUAUAUCAAUAACACGUUUAUCAUGGCCUUCACCAGGUCGUGGGUGCAUGCUGGCAGGUCACUGAAGGCCUCAAUCAGAAAACACAGCUCCACUCAGUGAAAUUUGUAACAGUAACAAUGUCUGAGGUUAAGGCCUCAGCUUGGGAAUCCCAAGCACCCAGUAAGACAGGACACCUUCCUAGCAAUAUUGAGUGCCCUGACCUUGUCUGUCCUUUUCCCCCCUUAAGUGCACUCAGCUGUGACAAUGGGAAGUGUCAUCCAUGCCAGUGGCCUUUGUAGAAAAUGAGAAGUGAAGGGUCUGCUGGCACAUAUUUGCUACCUAGGGGAGAAACAGUGUUUGCAGGCAUUUCUAUGUGCUGCUCAGAACAUAUUAGGCCCUGCCUGUCAGAUGAAGCUGUUGUAAAGCCUGGCUUUCUCCCUUGGUUAACUGCUUAGAUAAUUUCCCAAAUCAUGCUCUGACUGAUACAUUCCUAAAUCACAUAUGUACAGGUGUUCAUAUGUGUGGAAUAUGCUGUUGUAUCUGGGCAGAGAAAGCAUGUCAUCACCUAUGGUUGUUUUUUUUACAAAACGGUUUAAACCAGUUGGUUCAUUCUAUUUAUUAUUAUUGUUAUUGUUGUUGUUAUUAUUAUCAUUAUUAUUGGCUGUGCCCACGGCAAGUGGACACUGCCAGGCCAGAGAUCAAACCCGUGCCAAGGCAGUGACAAUGCCAGUUGGUUCAUUCUAAAGAUCCCCUGGUUGAUUUCUUUCCAGACCAGUUUUUUUUUUUUUUUUUCUUUUCUUUUUUCUUUUUUUCUUGUCCCUCUCUUGCUGAUAACACAGCACAAUUUUGGAGUGUCUACCAAAAUAGCUGUGAAAAAUGAUCUUAUUAGAACUGAAGGAACUUCAUUACUUUGAAGUGCGUUUUGGGAAAAUAUUCUAAAACAUGAAAAAUGGCCAUCAGUAGAGGAGAGCAAGAUUUCCGAGAGAGUUCUGUGCUCCUCUCAGUUGUGUGGCCUCUCUUCCAGUAGCUCAGCCCUGGCCCAAAUGUGUAUGUGAUCACAUAAUUGAUAAGACCAGCCUUUCUCUGUCCUUGGUGUACUUUCCUCAGUGUCCUUCCUUCUGGAUAUUAUCUUCACUCUCACGACUUCAACUGCUCCCUUACAUGAAUCAUACAUUUCAACAUCUGCCCCUUUCUCUCUUCUGUUUCAUGUGGUUUUAAUCUUUUAGGUCUUUUCACACUCCUAGAAUGGAAUAGGAUAAUGCUGCAUAAAGCAGACAUUAAAAAAGCAAUGCAAAAGAAUUCAAAUGAUUUGUAGUAAGCGACAACCUCUUUAUGUGUAGUUUAAAAAUGUAUCUCUGAACCUUCCCCCACGGCUGGUUUCUCAAGCUGUAACUAUGAUCUCAUACUUUCUUUCUGGAACUUAAGUCCUUCAAAAGGAAUGGUUCAGAAAACCCCAAAAAAUGUUCCCUACCCAAGUCCAUCCAUCACCUCAGAUUCAACAUGGCCAUAUCAAACCCAAAGAAGACUUCCUCUCUGGAGUUCUCUGGUGGCUCAGUGAUCCAUCAUUGUUAUUCUGCUUUGGUGGCCCCUGGCCCGGGAGCUUCUACAUGCCACAGGCAUGGCCAAAAUACAGAAAAAAAGAAGAAGAAGAAGAAGGAGAAGAAGACUUCUUCCAACCAGUAGGGAAAACAAAAACUCUUUUUGUUUUCAGUCUUUUUAGGGCCAAACCCACAGCAUAUGGAAAUUCCCAGGCUAGAGGUCAAAUCAGAGCUGCAGCUGCUGGCCUGCACCACAGCCACAGCAACAGAGGAUCAGAGCCAGGUCGGCAACUUAAACCUCGGCUCAUAGCAACUCCAGAUCCUUAACCCAAUGAGCGAGGCCAGGAAUCCAACUCUCGACCUCAUGGAUACUAGUUGGGUUCGUUACUGCUGAGCCACAGUGGGUGCUCCCCAAAAACUCUUUAGAUUUUGCCUCUUUCUGUCUGUGAUAUGUGGACUCCCAUACGGUAAGCAUACUCACACACAUACUCAUGUUAGGAAAGGAGUUUGUCUUUUUUGUAUUGAUCUUUGCACUUCUCUCUCUGUCCACAUCCACUGUUUCCAAAUCUUGGAUUUUCCCUUUGAAAUGACUUCCUUUUUGAAAUAAAUGUCACACUUCUCCAAUCCUUUUUUCUUACCUGUUGUCUCAGGCCACUGUCCCCUCACUCUAGAUUACUAUAAUACAUACCCAGCUGGUCUCCCCAUCUCCUUUCCCCACCUUGAUUGUAAAUUGUUCAACUUCAGGUCUCACAUCUCAUAACUUUCUCAUCCUUGGCAUAUAAAAAGGAUAUUAUUAAUCUGAAUUUUUGGUUCUGUUAUUCCUAAAAUUUUGUCAACUGUACUUCAAUUACCUAUACCUGAUUAACUGCUGCUCCGUCAUUCCUGAAGUAGAACAUCUUUCUCUAUGUCAUUUUGAUAACUCACUGCUCCCAUUGUUGCCCUUGGCUGAAAAGUACAUUGUUUAUCAAUGUGUUUUGUUCAUGAUUAUCUGGCAGCCCAAGCAUGAUAUUUAAUAUAAUUGAUGUCUCCUAUUUACUAAUGGAUGUUACGUCAUCAUUAUUCAGAAAAUUUGCUACUGAAAUUGACAUCUGAUUAAGGAUAUGUGAUUGAGGUUAAGAGCUUGUGGAUGUUUGGAGAUAUUUGUUUAUAGUAUGUAGCAUGCAAUGUGGUAAGCUCUCUGCAGGCUGCAGCUGGCUUUCUCUUCUGUUAAUAUUCUGUACUUGAGGAGGCUCAACUUUAGUGUUUCUUCUUACCGACUGAAUGAAAAAACACUUUACUGGCUACAGUAAUCUGGUGAAAUGUAAGUGAGUUUAAAAAAAAAAAAAA